GAUGAACGCUGGCGGCGUGCCUAAUACAUGCAAGUCGAGCGAACAGACGAGGAGCUUGCUCCUCUGACGUUAGCGGCGGACGGGUGAGUAACACGUGGAUAACCUACCUAUAAGACUGGGAUAACUUCGGGAAACCGGAGCUAAUACCGGAUAAUAUAUUGAACCGCAUGGUUCAAUAGUGAAAGACGGUUUUGCUGUCACUUAUAGAUGGAUCCGCGCCGCAUUAGCUAGUUGGUAAGGUAACGGCUUACCAAGGCAACGAUGCGUAGCCGACCUGAGAGGGUGAUCGGCCACACUGGAACUGAGACAGGGCCCAGACUCCUACGGGAGGCAGCAGUAGGGAAUCUUCCGCAAUGGGCGAAAGCCUGACGGAGCAACGCCGCGUGAGUGAUGAAGGUCUUCGGAUCGUAAAACUCUGUUAUUAGGGAAGAACAAAUGUGUAAGUAACUAUGCACGUCUUGACGGUACCUAAUCAGAAAGCCACGGCUAACUACGUG
rnacentral:rRNA from 1 species